AUUAGAGUUUGAUCCUGGCUCAGGAUGAACGCUGGCGGCGUGCCUAAUACAUGCAAGUCGAGCGAAUGGAUUGAGAGCUUGCUCUCAAGAAGUUAGCGGCGGACGGGUGAGUAACACGUGGGUAACCUGCCCAUAAGACUGGGAUAACUCCGGGAAACCGGGGCUAAUACCGGAUAACAUUUUGAACCGCAUGGUUCGAAAUUGAAAGGCGGCUUCGGCUGUCACUUAUGGAUGGACCCGCGUCGCAUUAGCUAGUUGGUGAGGUAACGGCUCACCAAGGCAACGAUGCGUAGCCGACCUGAGAGGGUGAUCGGCCACACUGGGACUGAGACACGGCCCAGACUCCUACGGGAGGCAGCAGUAGGGAAUCUUCCGCAAUGGACGAAAGUCUGACGGAGCAACGCCGCGUGAGUGAUGAAGGCUUUCGGGUCGUAAAACUCUGUUGUUAGGGAAGAACAAGUGCUAGUUGAAUAAGCUGGCACCUUGACGGUACCUAACCAGAAAGCCACGGCUAACUACGUGCCAGCAGCCGCGGUAAUACGUAGGUGGCAAGCGUUAUCCGGAAUUAUUGGGCGUAAAGCGCGCGCAGGUGGUUUCUUAAGUCUGAUGUGAAAGCCCACGGCUCAACCGUGGAGGGUCAUUGGAAACUGGGAGACUUGAGUGCAGAAGAGGAAAGUGGAAUUCCAUGUGUAGCGGUGAAAUGCGUAGAGAUAUGGAGGAACACCAGUGGCGAAGGCGACUUUCUGGUCUGUAACUGACACUGAGGCGCGAAAGCGUGGGGAGCAAACAGGAUUAGAUACCCUGCUAGUCCACGCCGUAACGAUGAGUGCUAAGUGUUAGAGGGUUUCCGCCCUUUAGUGCUGAGUAACGCAUUAGCACUCCGCUGGGAGUACGCGCAGCUGAACUCAAGAUGACGGGGCCGCACAGCGUGAGCAUGUG
rnacentral:rRNA from 1 species